rnacentral:rRNA from 1 species
UACGUAGGCAGCGAGCGUUGUUCGGAGUUACUGGGCGUAAAGAGCUCGUAGGCGGCCGGUUGCGUCUGCUGUGAAAUCCCGGGGCUUAACCCCGGGCGUGCAGUGGAUACGGGCUGGCUGGAGGCAGGCAGGGGAGAAUGGAAUUCCCGGUGUAGCGGUGAAAUGCGCAGAUAUCGGGAGGAACACCGGUGGCGAAGGCGGUUCUCUGGGCCUGUGCUGACGCUGAGGAGCGAAAGCGUGGGGAGCGAACAGG